rnacentral:tRNA from 1 species
AUUUAUAUAGUUUAUUUAAAAACAUAAUAUUGAAGAUAUUAAGAAGAUAAAUUUAAUUUAUUUAUAAAUA